GGCCCUACCCGGCUCCGUCCCUGGGUGUAAUGGUUUUUGAUUAAAAAAACUAAAAAAGAAAAAUAAGAAGAAAAUAAGAGGCAUAGAUAAAAGUUGAAAAGAAAGAAUAAAAAGAGAAGGGUAAAAAAAGAGGCAGAUAUACAAGGUUCGAUUUUGACACCAGCUCUCAUUUCUCUAUUUGGGCGAGUGAGGAACACACAGCAACAAAGUGGUUUAAAAGACUAGAUUUGAUCGAGUUCAAGUGUCUGGUUGAAACUUUGUGGAGUACAGCGACCGGGAUGACAAAUGGGAACAAAUCCAGGGGUCUCCCAGGCCAUUCCGCCUAUUUGAUAGGCACUAGAGGUGGCUCUUUGUCAUCGAUUGGGUCAAGAGGAUCUUCUGACCGAAGUAACAAUUCGGGUCAUAUGGGUGUUUAUUAGUGUUUUGUUAGAAUUAACUAUGGUUUUCUUUUGGUCUUUUUGAUGUUGAAUGAUUCAUUGAAACUUUAAACUUGUUUUGUGAUGCUGAUAUUAGAGUGGUUCAAACAGUCAUAUUAUGCAAAAGAAAA